rnacentral:misc_RNA from 1 species
GGAGGGAUCAUCAAAGAAUUUAACAUAAAACCCACAAGUGUUUGAGGGGGGGAAGAGAGAGAUUUCUUUCUCCUCUCAAACACUUUAAACAAACGAUCGCAACUAAAACUAAAUGAUUUGGGUUGGGGGAGGGAAAUAACAAACAAGAAACGUUUGCCUGAUAAAAACAUUGGAUUGGAAAAAAAAAAGAGAAAUAUACAACUUUCAACAACGGAUCUCUUGGCUCUCACAUCGAUGAAGAACAUAGCAAAGUGUGAAAAUUAAUGUGAAUUGCAGAAUUCAGUGAAUCAUUGAGUUUUUGAACGCAUCUUGCACUCUUUGGUAUUCCAAAGAGUAUGCCUGGUUGAGUAAUGUGAAUAACAUAGAUCAAUCAACCUUUUGUUGAAAAACAAAAAGAGAGAUUGGAAUUGAGUGACUUACCUUGCUUGUCUUCUUUUAUUUAUUUGGGAGAAGUGUGUGAGGUUCACUUGAAAUGAAGGGAAUGAUGUUAUAACAACAAGGGCUUGAUUUUUUUAGUCAUGAGGAGAAAGGCAAUAACUUUUGCUUGAUUGAUUUGCUUUCUCAUAGAGGAAGGAUCUUCAAGCAAAAGGGAAAAAGUCUAGCUUGAUAAUAACAAUGACUUGAUGAGGGAUUUGUGAUUUUUCAUAAAAGUCUUGUUUAGAGCUUUGCUUGCUUUCCAUUUUGUCAGAACUCUGACUUGUGCAAAAAGACUUGGGUUAUAACCUUCCACAACUAGGAAACAAAGAGAAGAAUCAUUUUCUCUUUCAUCAUCAUCAUUCUCAACUCAGGCAAGACUACCCGCUGAAUUUAAGCAUAUAAAUAAGCGGAGGAAAAGAAACUAACUAGGAUUCCCUCAGUAACUGCGAGUGAAGCGGGAAAAGCUCAAUUUUGAAAUCUACCAAGAGUAACAUUCUUGGUCGAAUUGUAGUUUCAAGAAAGAAUGACUGAGAGAAGUCGGUUUGGAUGCAAGUUCUUUGGAAUGUGACAUCAGAGAGGGUGACAAUCCCGUCUAUCGUCCUUCCGUUCAUAUUGCUUCUCAUAAAGGUCUUCUUUUCAAAGAGUCGAGUUGUUUGGGAUUGCAGCUCAAAAUGGGUGGUAAAUUUCAUCUAAAGCUAAAUAUGGGUGAGAGACCGAUAGCGAACAAGUACCGUGAGGGAAAGAUGAAAAGCACUCUGAAGAGAGAGUGAAAAGUACGUGAAAUUGUUGAAAGGGAAACGCUUGAAACCAGUCAAGGUUUACUAGAUUUCAGGAAAGUUUCAUGUGUUGAGCAGGUUGAUAUAGAGAUUCGUUUUAUUUUGGCGGACUCUAUGUUGGCUUUCGCUUAAUCAUGCUUUCUGUACUUUUCUAGUGAACAAGUCAGCAUCAGUUUGGCUUGCUUGGGAAAAGGGAUAACAGGAUUUGGUCAGGCUUUUGUGGAGUUUAUACUCUCAGAGGUUUGGAGCCUGCUUAUCAUGAUACCGAGUGCCAGACUGAGGAUUGCAUUACAAGGCAUUGACUUGGAAUAGGCAAUCUUGUGGUGCCACUUUUAAUAAACAGCUUGCUGAUUGUUAAAAGUGUUGUUAUCCAAGACUUGUCAAAUUCAAGCUGGUCUUGAUUUUGGAUGUUGACGAAAUGGUUUUAAACGACCCGUCUUGAAACACGGACCAAGGAGUCUAACAUGGAUGCAAGUAUUUGGGUGAUUGGAAACCCAUAUGCGCAAUGAAAGUGAAGUCCUCUUUUGGACUAGGUAGGAUGCUUCCUCUAUAUAUUUUUUAUAUAGGGAAAGCUGCACUAUCGACCAAUCUUGACUAGCUCCGGCUUGAUGGAUUUGAGUAAGAGCAUGUAUGUUGGGACCCGAAAGAUGGUGAACUAUGCCUGAAUAGGGUGAAGUCAGACGAAAGUCUGAUGGAAGCUCGUAGCGAUUCUGACGUGCAAAUCGAUCGUCAAAUUUGGGUAUAGGGGCGAAAGACUAAUCGAACCAUCUAGUAGCUGGUUCCUGC